CUCUGGUGCUAUGACAACAACGCUGCUGCCUUCCCACCAAUCACACCUCUAUCUCCUCAGACACAUAUGCAUGCUGUUCUGUCCAAGUAUUUAAGGUUUAACCUCUUCUAGAUGGUAUUAUGGCGUAUGAUAGAUGUAUUUGUAGACGUCAUGUAAUGGGAGGUUGUGAUGGGUGAAUAUUGAAAAACCCUUUUAGAACAUGCCUGGGUCAUAUUUUUACUUCAAAAUCAAAAGAAAUAAUGCAAAAUUAUAUUUUGCAUAAUGAAAUGGAACCUAUUUAUAGCUUUACUGCAUUGUGACGUUAUUUUGAUGACAAUGUCAUAUAUUCCCCUAAAAUUGAAAGAAAAAAAUCAGGAUUAUAUUUUGCAUGAUGAAAUGUAUUGCAUUAUGACAUUAUUUUAAUGACAGUAAAGCACAGACUUUCCUUCAUAUUCUCAUUACCAUAAUGCAAUAAAAAAGUCAUUUUCAUUACUUUUAUAUGAAAGCAAAAAAAAAAAAAUCUAAUUAUUUCUGUAUCAUGGUAGAUUUUUUUUUGCUGUAUUUAUUUAACCUUUAAAUUACAUUGAUUCAAAUAGUAAUAAUAAAAAUGUAUUUUGGUAAUACACAAAUCUAUUGAGAAUAAUGGGGGAAAAAUCUCCAGACACAUGAUGAUAAUAAGAACAGGAAGGAGACUUGUUUAAUUUUCAUAAAAAUAAUAUUCCAAUUGGAAAAAAAGCACCAUUCAUACAAUAAGCUUAUAAAAAUAUAAUUAAUAGUUUUCUUUUGAUUUGGUGAUUAAAUUUGCCUUAGACAUGUUUUCUUUCUGAGUUGCGCUCUUUAUUUUGCAUACUUUAUCUCAGUGGGAGAAUUUGCCCUGAGGUGGGCGGAGCUCUGUGGGAAAGGUGUGAUAAGUGGGCGGAGUCUGCAUUUGUGAGAGGCGGGUUUGAAUUCUUGUGUAAACGUGGUGCUCUCCACAGGGUCAUACCAGAGCCGUUCAGACGGACCAAAAGGAGCAGAACCACACGCAUUCCUGCUCCCAAUCUCAGUCAUUCCAAGACUGAAGGAAAGGGGGAAGGGGAAGAGUGGGGUGGGGGGGGGGUCGCUGAAGAGACACAGCCCCCAUCCCAAGCUGUUUCAGUUCCCGUCCAGUUCACGUGGGAGUCAGAAUGAGUUGGAGACAGAAUGUGGACAGCGAUACAGGAAACAUGAGAUUUUAGAAAGGACGCGUGUCAUUGGGUCACAGGAUCGCCCCCUGGGAAGCUCCAUCGUGGCACGGAGAGGGAAACAGAGGCGUUAUUGUACUGGAGCCGGAUGGAAAUUAAAGGCCUGUGAUCGGAGCUCGGAGCAAAUAAACUCAUUUCAACGCAGCUUUGUGUAGUCAUGUGUGUCUGAAUCCCGUCUCGUUACGCUCGGCUGCACGGCGCGGGGACGAGGGGUGGGAGGAGAGACCCCAGGGUUCGGCAGAGACUUCCACAGGGGGAAAACUCAGAUAAUGGUUUUCUGGAAACUGGAUUUGGUUAAUCUGUUCUCGGUGUAUCACACGGGGCUCAGGUAAUCAGAGGAACACAUGCCAUCGCUUGUCCUUCAGAAAAUACUCCUCUGAGCUCCAAAAGUUUCUUGGUCUGACCUGCGAUGUGUGUUUGAGAAAGUGCUGAUUAUCAUUUGUUGGUUUGGAUUUAGUGUGUUUGCUUUCUAUAUGUGCAAUUUUUUUGUAUUAUUACAAUUAUUUUUUUGUAUGAGAUGAAAGAAAAUUUAAAGAAUUAAAAUGCAAAAACUAGGACUGUCGAGGGAUUAUAAUGUAUUAAUCUAAUCAAUUACAUGAUGUGCUGAUGAAUUUUUUUAAUUAAAUGGCAUGUCAUGUAAUUAAUUAGAUAAAAAAAAUUAAGUCACACAUUAAUCUGGGAUGAGAAAUUACCCUCAAAACAUAUUUUAUAGUCAUGAUUGUGUUAAAUGAGAAAAGCAUCGAAUAGAAGUGACAAAAUAGUAGCUUUAGAGAGAAUUAUUUGGAUUCAACCUUUAAUGUGGCUAUUUUAUUGUUUUUAGAAGCAGAGUAUGAAGUGGCAUGUAUGUUUGCACAGGUGGCAUUGCAUUCACAGUGCAAUUAGAAUUGCAUAAAUAUUGCUAUGACAGAAAUGGGCUUUAAAUUGACAUUAAUGAAUUAAAAAAAAAAUUAUAUAUAAAAAAAAAAAAAUGAAAUGAUACUCAAAAUAUGAAAGUAUAACCGCCAGUAGGUGGCAGCAAGUCACUGUUGAUGACUCAUUCAACAGCUGAUUGGUUCAGAAAUAAAGCAAGUGUCUUUAUGAACGGGUAACUGAAUCAUUGGCUCACUCGAGUCAUGGAUUCAUUCAGUAACGAAAAACCCGUGCCUUUGGAAUAGGGCUGUGCGAUAUGGUGAAAAUAUCUAAUUGCGAUUUUUUUGACAGAUAUUGCGAUUGCGAUUUGAUUUGCGGUUUUGAAUUUGCAAAGUCAAGCUUCAGCUCAAUAUUGUCAAUAAUGUGCAGCACAGUAUCAUUACCCUGCUGAAAAAAAAAGAAUUCUUACAGUUUCCAUUAAACCAUUACAAAAUUCAUUAGGGAGACAUGGCCUAAUGGUUAGAGAGCGAACUCGCAAUUGAAGGGUUGUGCGUUCGAGUCUCGGGCCUGCAGGA
ensembl:lncRNA